rnacentral:rRNA from 1 species
GUUGAACGCUGGCGGCGUGCCUAAUACAUGCAAGUCGAGCGAACGGACGCGCUGCGUGCUUUUCUGAUGUUAGCGGCGGACGGGUGAGUAACACGUGGAUAACCGACCUAUAGGACUAGGAUAACGUCGGGAAACCUGAUCUCGCACGGGAUAAUAAGUUGAACCCCAGGGUCCAUAGGUGAAAGACGGUUUUGCUCUCACGUUUAGAGGGUUCCGCGCUGCAUUAGCUAGUUGGUAAGGUAACGGCUUACCAAGGCAACGAUGCAUAGCCGACCUGAGAGGGUGAUCGGCCACACUGGAACUGAGACACGGUCCAGACUCCUACGGGAGGCAGCAGUAGGGAAUCUUCCGCAAUGGGCGAAAGCCUGACGGAGCAACGCCGCGUGAGUGAUGAAGGUCUUCGGAUCGUAAAACUCUGUUAUUAGGGAAGAACAUAUGUGUAAGUAACUGUGCACAUCUUGACGGUACCUAAUCAGAAAGCCACGGCUAACUACGUG